rnacentral:rRNA from 1 species
AGAGUUUGAUCAUGGCUCAGAGCGAACGUUAGCGGCGGGCUUAACACAUGCAAGUCGAGCGAGAAAGGGACUUCGGUCCUGAGUAAAGCGGCGGACGGGUGAGUAACACGUAGGUAAUUUUCCCUUGAGCGGGGGACAACGUUUCGAAAGGAACGCUAAUACCGCAUACGUUUCCCAGGUCUUCGGAUUUGGGAAGGAAAGCUAGGUCGCAAGAUCCGGCACUCGAGGAGAAGCCUGCGUCGCAUCAGCUAGUUGGUGGGGUAACGGCUCACCAAGGCGAAGACGCGUAGCUGGUCUGAGAGGAUGAUCAGCCACACUGAAACUGAGACACGGUUCAGACUCCUACGGGAGGCAGCAGUGGGGAAUAUUGGACAAUGGGCGCAAGCCUGAUCCAGCCACGCCGCGUGAGUGAUGAAGGCCUUCGGGUCGUAAAGCUCUGUGGGGAGGGACGAACCGCUGGGGGUUAAUAGCCUCCAGCAUGGACGGUACCUCCUUAGCAAGCACCGGCUAACUUCGUGCCUGCAGCCGCGGUAAUACGAAGGGUGCAAACGUUGCUCGGAAUUAUUGGGCGUAAAGCGCACGUAGGCGGCUCAGCAAGUCGGAUGUGAAAGCCCACGGCUCAACCGUGGAAGUGCAUCCGAAACUGCUGAGCUUGAGUACUUAAGAGGAUCGCGGAAUUCCCGGUGUAGAGGUGAAAUUCGUAGAUAUCGGGAGGAACACCAGUGGCGAAGGCGGCGAUCUGGGAAGAUACUGACGCUG